rnacentral:misc_RNA from 1 species
UUUUUUUUUUUUUUUUAAUCUAAAAAAAAGGUCCGUGGUAUUUACCAACAAAGGGGCCUUCCCGAUCAACCACAUCACCCAAAACCUGCUGCAACUUAAUAUAGCCAAAAAUUUCUCUCCUAAUUAUUUCCCAGAUAGGAAUGACAGGAUCUUCCCCAUCAAUCGCAUCGAAACAACCAAAGCAACGAAGUAUACCAAGAACAUGUUGAGGCAUUUCAGUACCUGAGGCUAAGAUGUUGUAUAUAAGGGAUUUAGCCUCCUCGUAGAACACUCUAUUCCCAGUUUUGGACAAUGCCUCCAUAAUAUGUUGA